rnacentral:rRNA from 1 species
UACGUAGGGCGCAAGCGUUGUCCGGAAUUAUUGGGCGUAAAGAGCUCGUAGGCGGUCUGUCGCGUCUGCCGUGAAAACCCGAGGCUUAACCUCGGGCCUGCGGUGGAUACGGGCAGACUAGAGGUAGGUAGAGGAGAAUGGAAUUCCCGGUGUAGCGGUGAAAUGCGCAGAUAUCGGGAGGAACACCGGUGGCGAAGGCGGUUCUCUGGGCCUUACCUGACGCUGAGGAGCGAAAGCGUGGGGAGCGAACAGG